UACGGGGGGAGCAAGCGUUGUUCGGAUUUACUGGGCGUAAAGGGCGCGUAGGCGGCCACCGCAAGUCGACUGUGAAAUCUCCGGGCUUAACCCGGAAAGGUCAGCCGAUACUGCGGGGCUAGAGUGCAGAAGGGGCAACCGGAAUUCUCGGUGUAGCGGUGAAAUGCGUAGAUAUCGAGAGGAACACCUGCGGCGAAGGCGGGUUGCUGGGCUGACACUGACGCUGAGGCGCGAAAGCAUGGGGAGCGAACAGG
rnacentral:rRNA from 1 species